CCCUAUGUGCUGGUACACCAGAUACCGGACAAUGUUGAUGCUGAUGGCAAUCACUGUUUCUAUCUGCCCCUGCCCCGCACUGCGGUCUCACGGCACAACGACCUGGAUUUCAACAUUGCCAACGCUGCGGGGCUGCGCUUCUCAGACUCAGCCGAGGUGAACAUCUACAGCUCCACGCUGGUGACGCUGAUUC